UUGGAGGGCAAGUCUGGUGCCAGCAGCCGCGGUAAUUCCAGCUCCAAUAGCGUAUAUUAAAGUUGUUGCAGUUAAAAAGCUCGUAGUUGAAUUUCGGGAUUGACACAUCGGUCGUGCCUUAAGGGGUAUGAACUGGUGUAGUCAAUUUCUCACCUUCUGGAGAACCGCAAUGCCCUUAAUUGGGUGUCGCGGGGAACCAGGACCUUUACUUUGAAAAAAUUAGAGUGUUUAAAGCAGGCAUUUUGCUUGAAUACAUUAGCAUGGAAUAAUAAAAUAGGACGGCAUGAUUCUAUUUUGUUGGUUUCUAGGGUCACCGUAAUGAUUAAUAGGGAUAGUUGGGGGCAUUAGUAUUCAAUUGUCAGAGGUGAAAUUCUUGGAUUUAUUGAAGACUAACUACUGCGAAAGCAUUUGCCAAGGAUGUUUUCAUUAAUCAAGAACGAAAGUUAGGGGAUCGAAGACGAUCAGAUACCGUCGUAGUCUUAACCAUAAACUAUGCCGACUAGGAAUCAGACGAUGUUAAUUUUUUAAUGACUCGUUUGGCACCUUACGGGAAACCAAAGUGUUUGGGUUC
rnacentral:rRNA from 1 species